rnacentral:rRNA from 3 species
UGGGGAAUAUUGGACAAUGGGCGAAAGCCUGAUCCAGCCAUGCCGCGUGUGUGAAGAAGGUCUUCGGAUUGUAAAGCACUUUAAGUUGGGAGGAAGGGCUGCUGGUUAAUACCCUGCAGUUUUGACGUUACCAACAGAAUAAGCACCGGCUAACUUCGUGCCAGCAGCCGCGGUAAUACGAAGGGUGCAAGCGUUAAUCGGAAUUACUGGGCGUAAAGCGCGCGUAGGUGGUUGGGUAAGUUGAAUGUGAAAGCCCCGGGCUCAACCUGGGAACUGCAUCCAAAACUGCCCGACUAGAGUACGGUAGAGGGUGGUGGAAUUUCCUGUGUAGCGGUGAAAUGCGUAGAUAUAGGAAGGAACACCAGUGGCGAAGGCGACCACCUGGACUGAUACUGACACUGAGGUGCGAAAGCGUGGGGAGCAAACAGG